AGAGGGUGAGAAACGGCAACCUUAGCCUCACCUUAGCGCUGGGGCUGGACUAUACCAACUGGAACUCAUCCUGGAGAGACCACACCCAAGUAUCUACUCCGUCUUGGCAGGGCAGAGCGUCAUCCUGUUACCCAUCCGCUCAUCGGAAGGGACAAAGUGGGAAGCCAGACAUCCUCAUAAAGUAGACCCUACCAGCUCCGAGCUCUCGUGAAACUCGUGUACUUUGGAAGCUCCCCGACCCCCGGCAGGUGCCCGCCGCGCAAUCAUUACCCUUGUAAUGGUAACCCCGAGGAGCGAGACAAAGCGAGGCGCUGGUGGGAGCUGCAGUGGGUAGAUCUCUCACACAAUCUCUCCCUGGAUGAGUUCAUGCGAGAGUAAAUAGCCUGAAAGAUUGAAUAGGUGGCUAAAUGCUUGGCUGUGCCGAUACAUAAGUAAACAAUGCAUGUAAAUGUUUGUGUUGCUGGAGAAGAGCAGCCGGGCUCUUCAGAGAUCCAGGCGGUCUGGAGGCUCUCGCUAAAGAAGCUGGUGGGGACCACGUGGACCGCCUGGGACAGAUAACUCCAGCUUGCUAUAAUCCGUGUGUGCCACAAUUCAAGAUGAGAUGAAGAGAGGAAAAUGGAACCAGCCUCCAACCUCUGGCUGCCCCUCCUUGCUGCUCUGGCAUUCCGAGACUCAGGAUUCCCAGGCCCUGUUGAGCCUACAGUUUCUGGACCGAUCUUUGAAAAAUCCAUCUGGAUUGUGUGUUUUGCUUAAAUGCUUUGCGGUUUGUACCACUUACUGUGGUGCUGUGAGAUGAAUGAUUGGAAUGGUUAAAAAUUAACCCACUCAUUUAGACAUCCUUCCUGUGCAUUCUUACUUAAUAAACAAUUAUUUGGGGUAAAACAUCUGUGUUGCUACCAAUGUAAGAUACCAUGUAGGCACAGGUGUGCUCCAGCAUCGGUGUGAAAUUUUUAAAAACGUAAAUCGU
ensembl:lincRNA Gm29543 predicted gene 29543